GUAGCAUUGCUACGUCAUCAAUGCUGGGGCUUCUUGAUGGCAACCACCUCAGUGUAACCGUGUGAAACCUGUGUCACUUUUGAGACUGGCUCCAAGUAACAGCAACAAUUUGUAACGUUGAACUUCACCUGAGCCAUGCAAUAAGAAGAGAUUGAGUAAGCACUAUAGUAUGGACUGUACCAGUGGAAUCGGGCUUGGCAGUGAGGCAAGAGGUCUUAAAGAAAAAUACAUUUGGUUAAAAAGCAAUGAAGAAAGAUCCUAUGAAACACAGAGCUGCAAUUGGAAGUGAAAAUGCUGUUUUGAAAAGUGAAAGCAGACACCUAAG